rnacentral:tRNA from 1 species
GGGGGCGUAGCCAAAUGGAUAACGGCAUAGCGUUUACGCCAACGUUGUGGGUUCGACUCCCACCGCCUCC